rnacentral:lncRNA from 1 species
AAACAAAGGCCAAGAUUGAUUCCAACAGAAGUCAAAAGUGCAGAGAGGAUCAUUCCUUAAAUCCGUUCACUGAACUGUCUGCUUACAGCAUGAGAGCUUCAAUCCAACAGCAUCAGAAUACUAAUGGCACAGAGAAUAAGCACUCAUGCACGCAGUUUAUCACAGCUUCUAGAUAGGCUGCAAAACCAUGAAGAAUCAACAUUUCAAUUCAAAAGUGUGUAACUGAUUACCACAACAAGGGAACAACUGGAAAUACAGCCAAGAUAUAACUCAUGGAUGUAGUGAACUAAAAAAAGUUGGUUAAUAUUUCAACAGCUAGUUAACAAAGCUAACCAGUUAGUUAAACUAGUGAUUGGCGGGAAAGUUAGUUAUAAGAGGCGAAUAUGGAGGAUCUUUUUUGCUAGUAACACUGAGAUAAUGGUACUUCUUCGAUCAUAAGAGCUACGAAGCUCCACCAGUAUAAGGAAGGAAGCUAGACUAAGGAAACAGGCACAAAAUGGUUUCUUCUUCCUUGGUCUCUCUCUCCUCUUCUUAUUCCUCUCCAAAUCUCUCCUCUUCUGUCAAUUCUCCUCUUUCCUUUCCUAAAUUAAUUAGACAGGGAGUUAUAAUUGCCAAUUAAUUAGAUAGGAGUUAUAAUUGCAUCCUCCAAUUGGGCAGCAUUCUAAUUGUUCAUUUCAAUAAAGCU